UGAAAUAGAAAAUAUGUUCAAUCAUAUAAGAUACAACUUCAUAAAAGUGGUCAAUAAAUUGUAGAAUGUUGAUGAAUAGUUUGUUUAUUUUAAAAAAUUUUAACAACUGUAAUAAAUAUUUCUAUUUGUCUAAAUAAUAGUUAAUAAUUGUCAGUGUUUGUCUAGUUUGCUUGGUAUUAUAAGUAACCAUUAAAAUAUUUACACAUUGUUUGGAUCAUAUUUAUGAUUAUUGAAUAGGUAUGUACAUCAAAACAUGAAAUCAGAAAAUAAUUAUUCAUUAAUUGGUAUGUAUCGAACUUACACUAUUUACA